rnacentral:rRNA from 1 species
UACGUAGGGUGCGAGCGUUGUCCGGAAUUAUUGGGCGUAAAGAGCUUGUAGGCGGUUUGUCGCGUCUGCUGUGAAAUUUCGGGGCUCAACCCCGAACUUGCAGUGGGUACGGGCAGACUAGAGUGUGGUAGGGGAGACUGGAAUUCCUGGUGUAGCGGUGAAAUGCGCAGAUAUCAGGAGGAACACCGAUGGCGAAGGCAGGUCUCUGGGCCAUAACUGACGCUGUGAAGCGAAAGCAUGGGGAGCGAACAGG